rnacentral:rRNA from 1 species
UACGAAGGGGGCUAGCGUUGCUCGGAAUCACUGGGCGUAAAGGGUGCGUAGGCGGGUCUUUAAGUCAGAGGUGAAAUCCUGGAGCUCAACUCCAGAACUGCCUUUGAUACUGGAGAGCUUGAGUCCGGGAGAGGUGAGUGGAACUGCGAGUGUAGAGGUGAAAUUCGUAGAUAUUCGCAAGAACACCAGUGGCGAAGGCGGCUCACUGGCCCGGUACUGACGCUGAGGCGCGAAAGCUAGGGGAGCAAACAGG